GGACGGAAGCGAGAUUAGCGACGACGACGACGACGCCUAUUCCAUCGAGCACACCAAAGCCGCUCUGAACUGCUGGCAAGGUUUGGACAAGAGCGAGGCUUUGCAAAACCCGCUCGGCACGCCUCACGACGUUCAGUGAAAACUUACGCACUAGUUUCUCGCACUCCCACCGCGCGUCGUGACAUCUCGCGCGUGAAUGACGCAUAUUACCCUAGCUCAGCCACACGUCUGGCUGACCACCAUUCUUUCCUUGUUGUAAGCUUUUUUUGUUAACUUGGCCUCGAACCGUCUUGUCUCGCGCGCGCGCAUCACGAGCCAUUCAUCCGCGCGUCGUCGGACCGAUCGAUCGGCGCCGAAGCGAAGGGACGCCACGCACUCACCUCCAGAGUCGAGACCGCGCGCGCGCGACAUCGACGCGCGCUCGAUACGACGGCGCAAAUGCGACUCCUCGACGGGUCGCCCUCGGCCCAAUACGUCGUUUCACGCGAGCUCGUCGUUAUGCUCGACGCGCCGCGCGCGGGCGUGCCUCGGCGCGUGCGCGAGCGAUUCGAAAGUGCGAGCGAGACACAUCCAUCAUCCAACGACGAACGACGAGCGGUGUCGAACGAGCGCGACGUUGAGGUAGGCUGCGAGUCAAGAUACGAACAGCCUUUUCUGACGACGCGACUCCAUGAAACUGACGUGACUAACGACGUGACUGACGACGUGACUGACGACGCCUCGUCGCGUGAGCUGCAGAUCGCUCGAGCAUUUCUCGACGCACGGUUGAACGGUGAGCACGAAUACGAAGGCUUUGAAGCGCUACUGUGCGACGAAUCCGUGAUCUCUCUGACGACGCGACUUCUCGCGCGCGUCGAAGAGCGCGGCGAAGCCAAAUUUCCAGCGAAAAUGGUUCUGAGCGCGUACAUGAUUUGCUACCACGCCGAUGUGGUCCUCGGUGGUUCGAACGCGAAGGAGGUACCGUGCGAAGAAACGUCGCUCAUUGAUUCAUCCAAGGCGUUGGUUAACGCGUUCGACGCGCUCGCACUCACGAUGUCGCGCUCGGGCACGUUCACAGCCACCAUCACGAACGCGUUCGAGCGCGCUUGGCACACGUGGACUGCAGAUUUCAAAAUUUGGAAAUCGAAAGACGCGUUUAGUUUGACCCAAGAGCUCAUACGAAUCGGUGUUGCGAUGGAGUCUUCGAUGAUUCGUGUGUGCGGCGCUCGCGGCGCGCUCGAUUCCACAGUCGAUCUCGGUGAAGAACGCAACGCGAUACGCUCCGCACAAUCGCACGAUCGCGCGCUUCUAAGAGAGAAAGUCUUCACGCUUUCGGGUAAAAGCGCAGUCGACGAGUUCGAUGCGAUGAUUACAAGAGUUCGAGCCGCGGGCUUAAGCGACGAAGAGUCAGCGAGGGCAAAGGAUACUCGCACGGAUCGGCUCGACGAACGUCGGCGUAAACGGGAAGCCACGAGCGCUCAAAUCGCCGCUGCGAUCGAAAAGGACAAAGAACGCGCUCGUCAGCAGAUGGCUGGUGAAGAAAACGUUGUUUCGAACUUUGUCGAAAUGCAAAAGGAUCAGAUUUUACACGAAUUAAUGCUGGACCCCGAGUGGAAGCUCAGAGCGCCACCAAAGUCACCCGUUGAGGACGAUCCCGUACGCGAGCAGGUCGUACAAAUCAUGAAGAAGGCGUUCUGGGACAUGGUGUACGAAUCACUUGUUCAUGAUACGAUCGACACAUCUAUCGUUCGCGCUCGAAUUUUCGAAUGGAAAGACGCCAUCAUCGACGACACUUUGAUUUUGGAUCGCCAGACGACGGAGAGCUUGGAACUGAUCCAAAAUUCACUCAGCCUCAUCGACGUCAACUAUCUUGAAGCGAGCAUCUUGCGCAUGGAAAGCACACCUACAGACACAUCAGAAGCUUUGCGAACCUCGCUCGAUCAUGGUUACACGGCUCUCAAUGCGCUCGCGAAUGGUUCCGUGAAGGACGAUCUUAGCGCUGCGUUUGACAAUCUGACGCGAGAACUCGAGACGGCGACGAACGCGGACAAAUUCACUUUAUCUCGAGCGAUUGCUGAUGCUUUGGCGUUCUUGUUUGAUUUUCGCGAGCGUAUACACCAAUCGAUGAGCCUUGAAGCAGCCAACGAGGCGAUUGAUGCACUCCGCGAGACGCUCGCGGUGAUGCCAGAUGGCAUCGAGUACGCGACAACGCGCUUCUUGCAUCGAUUUGAUGUGAAAGUCGGGGAGACCGAACUCGCACUUGCGUUUCCUCGCACGUGUGCUUGGCUUGAAAGCGUCGUCGAAGAGCUUCCGACGCUCGAUGCGACAUUUGCACCUCUUCUCGAUUCUCUCAAUGUCGACCGCUGGCGAGGCGUGCGUCUGAGGAGCGGUUUCGAGACUCGAGCCGAGGGCGCGCAAAAGACUUCUUCGGAAGUAAUCAGUUCAACUUUACAUCCGACCCGGGUCAUGUCUGUGAAUGGUGUUUGUCGUGUCGCCUUUGCACGAUUGGUUACCAAUCCCAACGCCAUGAUUCAAGACUUUAUCCCGGAAACGCUUGAAAACGACGUGCAACGCAUCGAUUACUUUUGCCGUGAGUUUCAGAACAUUCAAACGCUUGCCGCUUGUUUGAUGCUCUCCACGCAACUCUGUCGCUUAGAGGUUUUCGUGGAUGUGGACGCGCUCAUCGAUCGAGUCGCGGUUCUGCUCUCUUCGGAACGAGACCUACCGGCGAUGUCUCGCGUCGCCGAGGUCCUCUCCGCGACGCUCCCGACGUCCGACGGCGCCCAAACCAUCACCAACAUGCUUCGCAAGCUCACGGGUUCCGACGAUUGCGCCAAUCCGAUGUCUGUCGCCAUCAUCAAGGCCAUACGAUCCGCGCUCACGAUUCGUCUCCUUCACGGCUUCGAAGGCGAAGCCGUUGAUAGGGCGUGCGACGCCCGGCUCGCCGCAGUCUUCGCGUCGCGUCUCCGUCCUCGCGUCGACGCCAUCGCUCGCGACGCCGCGCGAGUGAUCAAUCUACACGCCACAGUGCGCGCGCCCGUGGUUUCGGCCUUAGUGAACGACUUGCUCGCCAGAGAUGAUGAAAUUUAACGCUCUUCUUCGCGAAUCAGAGGCACCCGGCGCUUGAAGAAUCUUCAAUGAAGAUGAACCGCUUUUCCGUUGCCCACGCGUCAGAAUUCUGCAUUCAGCGACUCGCGCGGCGAGCACGCCGCGCUCGAAACGCCGCCAAGUUGUCGCAGGAGAACAACGAUGUGUGCGCGCGCGACGAAUCCACCGUCGCGCGCGACGAAGCGCGCCAAGGCCUGCUGUCGCUCGCGCGCGUCGCGAGUCGACGCGUCGAUCGCUCGUUACGACGCAUGCGCGCGUCAAUCAGUCGUAGACGCUCCAACAAAGGAACGGAUGGCGAAGCGUGCUUAGUUUUACACGGAUGGCGAAGCAACGCCGACGUGAGCGCGCUGCAUGCGCGAAGGUUGCGGCUUUUGAAGCGAUUUAGAAAGGCGUCGUGCGUGAAUGGCUCGGAGGAGGCGCCGCACGCGGCGGACGAGACGACGUCUGAAUUAAUCGAUGGACCGUGGUUCUCCUGGGUCGACGACGCGAGUGAUGAUACGUUUGAAAAUUUGGAAAGCGAGCGAGCGACGGCGUUAAUGACGGCGGCGCGAUCGGUGGCAAAGUUUGCCAUCGAACACGGGCCGUUCAAGUGCGCGGUGGGAUUUUCGCAAGGCGGCGCAAUGAUCACGUUGUUGUCCAACCCGCAGGUCUUAAGCAUGCUGGGGAUCGAAGGGGGCUAUUUGUGGGACAGUGCGGUGAUUUGUUGCGGCGCGUCAUCUUCAUUGCUCGAUCUCGCGGCGACGAAGUGGGGUAUCGACGUGCGCUCGUCGGCGUCGCCGAUGCCGUCGUUGCACGUGUUCGGUUUUCAAGACAAAUUCAAACCACAAGGUGAAGUGCUCAUGAAUACGUUCCGUGCGUACGACAGCGAGGACCAAUUGAUCAGACACGCUCUGUAUUUAGACUGCGGUCACACGUUGCCGGCGUCGCUCGAGACGGACACUGGUUUUCACGCCGAAUUCGACGCCUGGCUCGAGGCGGCGACCGAGGCGGCUCCCCGUCGUUACAGGUCAAACGAGUUCGAUGAAGAUGUUUUGUUCGACGACAUCAAGUCGCUAGAGUAUAAGUCGCUCAAGUUUAGUAAUCAGCCCACCAUCGAGCGCGCUGAGGCUGAUAUUGAGAGAGCAGAAGCGGAGGGCGCACGCGCCGCCCAAGCGACGACAUUUGCUUCAGCCAGAACUCUCGCCCGAAACAUCGAUGUAAGCACCGCAACUGCGCCGAGCGGGAAUGAUCUCACGUUCAACACGCGCUGUGCGAGUUUGGUUCAGUGUAAUGUGUCGCUAAAGUCAAGCAGAGUGAAUAUUCUUGACUUUCUAGCGAGGGCGCCUCGAGCGUCUCCGCUUCUUCGAAGCUUGGACGGGGCAACAUUGACGUACGGGCAAGCGAUCGACUUCAUAACAAAAGGGGACGGUGAUUUACGUAAACUUGGGGCAGAUUCGUCAUCUGUUUUUGCGUAUAAUGUCCCUCCAGGCCCGGUCGGUGCGCUAGCUUUUCUCGCCGUCGCGUCGCAGUGCACCGCCGUCCCUUUGGACCCCGGCAUCGCCGAGGAAGACGCCUACGAAGCCCUGACGUCGUGUCGAGUGUCAAUGCUUGCGUUAUUUCGAGGAACCGACACUGAAGCAAUUGAAACGGCAGCUUCUCGAGCUCAUAUACCGAUUAAAUGGUUCGUGAUGACGGAAGCUGAUACUAAACUUGCCGGUUUGUACGCGCCGGAAUCGUCUCAAUCGUCAACGAGUGACGUCGCGCCGCUCGUACAAUCGAGUGAAACGAUCGGUCUUUUGCUUCGAACUUCUGGGACGACAUCCAAGUCAAAAGUUGUUCCGUUGGUUAUCGGCGCGUUGACUUCAAACGGCGCUACGCUGGCGGCUUCUCUUGAACUCAAAGCUUCAGACGUUUGCAUCAACGCCAUGCCUCUUUUUCACAUCGGUGGCCUUUCGUGUUCCAUCUUGGCGACGAUCGCGGCGCACUCUUCUGUCAUCUGCUGUCGUAAGUUUGACGCUCAAUCGUUUUAUGACACCAUUACGACGUCGCAUGAAGUCAAACCGACGUGGUACUCAGCAAUACCGACGAUUCAUUUGACAGUACUGCAAUACGGUCAAGCUGUGGCUCGUGGCGCAAAGCCAUCGCAUGCUCUUCGUUUCAUACGCUCUGGCGCGGCGGCGCUCAGCCAUGCCGACGCAGAAAAGUUGCAACGAUUUUGGGACGUGCCGAUAAUACCGACGUAUAGUAUGAGUGAACAAAUGCCGAUCACUGGUAAAGGUGUCCACGUUCCGCUCGCCGAGCGUGCGGAUACCGUGGGCCAGCCUCUCUGUUGUUCGUUUGCGCUCGUCGGUGAUGGUCAUUGCAGACUCACGGCACCUUUUGGACAGCAAGGUGAACUCGUCAUCAGCGGUGAUAACGUGAUGACGGCGUAUCAAGAUGCGGAAGAAGCUAACAAUAAGACUUACUUCUACGUUGCCGAUAAGCGUUACCUUCGCACUGGCGACAUCGCAAAGAUGGACCACGAUGGGUUUGUGUACUUGACUGGUCGUAGUAAGGAACUUAUCAAGCGCGGGGGUGAGCAAGUGAGCCCAUUAAAAGUCGAGGCUGUGCUCGUGCAGCAUCCAUACGUGCGUGUUGCGGUAGUCUUCAGCGUUCCUUCGGCGCUUUGGGGAGAAGAAGUGGGCGCCGCGAUCGUAUUGACCGACGACUUUGAUGGGCACGAAGACUCGGCGCUCUCUUCAAUCAAGUCUUUCAUGGGAACAUCGAAAGAACUAUCUCGAUUUGAAAUUCCUGUACACUGGAAAUUUGUCGCUGACGAAGAUUUACCCAAAACAUCGACGAAAAAGUAUAAGCGUGCGGGUUUGGCCGAGAUUUUAAACGUCGCGAAGAAAGUCGACGCGUGCACUUUGCGGCACUCUAAAAAGGUGACGACCCCGUCGCAUGGUCUUGCAGGCUUGCGCUAUUGUAUGGCUGUAGGUGUGAUGUUUAACCACAUAGGUGCCAUUUGGCAAGGCGAGGACGAACGUGAUCCUUUGACGUAUGGUCCAGCGUGGAUGUCUGCCAAGGCGACGACGUUUUACUUUCCAGCGACAACUUUCUUUGUGCUGGGUGGCUUCACGCUCAGCGCCGCACUGAACGGCAAGGAAAUCACAAAAGGAACAUGGGGAUCGUUCUAUAAUUCAAGGUUUCAAACACUCUUUCCUCUGUACUUGCUGUCUUUGUUUCUCGGUCUGAUCAACGUCCUCGUGGUGUGUCGCCCGGAAACUUUUAGUAGCGAAUUUAGCUGGCAACCACAUAACGCAACGCUCACGCUCGACUCUGGGGCGUGGGCGCAAUGCCAGACCGGUCCAGUGGAGAUGCCCUACGGCGCUUGGCUCUUCAUGACCCUCAUCGUUUUCUCUUUCGGGUUGCAAACUUGGUUCCCGCUGUGGCUUCUCAGCUCGUGGUUCAUGUACUACACGUGGUUCAACGGCGUUUACUAUUUCAUUAUUCUCGUGUUUCCUUUCAUGCACAACGCGCUCGCUCGCGUCAAAGGCGAAUUCAAAGCCGUACUGAGAUGGUUCAUCGUUUACUGUGUCGGUACUCUUAUCACCGCCGGGCUUUUGGGAUUGUACUACGCCUUACCGGCGUGGGAAGAGCACGACGAUGUCGCCAAAGUGAAGAGCUGGAAAGAAAAUGUGCAGAACAUCUACGCACUCAGCACAAUGAUGUUUCCGCCGUAUUGGGUGCCAUGUGUCGGUACGGGUAUGGCCGCAUACUUUUGGUACGACGCCGUACGGCCAGUAGAGUCGCACAAGCGCGCGUUGUACGGCCACUGCGCCGAUGUGCUCACGCUCGCAUUUUUCGCCUUCCAUCUCGCCCAUUUCCUUGACAUUGAUUGGCCUUAUCCGACCAACGUCACGGGCAAGAUGUGGGAAGUUGUACCCGAAGAGCAUCAUCGCUGGGAUACAGGCAUCAAUCGCUAUGUAUGGAGCGUCAUGAUCACUCGGUUGUAUUCUCCGUUGAUCGCCGUCUGGAUCGCUCUGCUGUCGAUACCGAAGGGCAGCCGAACGACUCGCCUUCUUGAAUCAAACUUACUAAGCAAAGUGCUCGCCCCGACGAGUUAUGGUUGCUUCUUGUUCCACCAGAUCAUUGGACAGUGGUAUUGGUGGGCGACUCGUAAUGGAAAUGGCAUCAAGACCGCAGACGUUGGCGACAAGACGUCGUGGAUGUGGUGGGCGUAUCCGAAGGAAUAUUACUGGUUCUCGCCGCAGCCGUUACCUGUGGCGUGGUACGAGUUCUUCUUCAUCGUCGGAAUGACGACGUGCUUUUCGGCGGCGGUAGACAGGUGGCUCAAUACUCCACUGACGGUGCUAUGGAUCAAGUUUAUAACCUUCUUCCGGAAUAUUAUAUGGCCGAAUUCGGCGAAGAGCGCGGAGACUUCGGGUAGCAGCGAGGAGUCGUCGCCUGAAGACGCGGUGAUCAAAGCAGUCGCCGCGGUCACGGGCGUCGACGAACGAGUGUCUCUCGACGACUCCUUUGAUGAGAUCGGUCUCGUUUCUGUCGGUCUGCCAGUGCUCGUGGGUAUAAUCAACGCCGGCGAACAAUUCGCCGUCAUCUCGGCUCAAGAAAUAGCGACGUGCGCGAACCUUCGUGACGUCGUCAGAAUAAUCGCUUCCAAGCGUGAAUCGGCUCGAUCGAGUGUAGGGUUUGGAACUAGAAGCUCUCUGUAAUAAGUUAUCACACGCUAAGCAUCAUCGUCACUCAAACGACGACGAGUUGCGUAUCCUCUCCUUGUGCUCGUGCGCCUCGCGUCCGAGGAAAACCUUUGCUCGACUGAUUCAGUCACGUCACAACCCAGACGCCAUGAACUCGAUCAAGCGUGCGAUCGCGCGCGUGCUGGCGUCAGACGAGUUACACUACGCCAUCAUCCCCGUCAUCAUCAUCGUCGGUAUGAACACGACGCCGAAACCGAGCAUUUUGUCGCUCUUGACGCCGAUUUAGACGAGUGUAGAGAUCUAGAGAUUAGCAACGAACGAACGCAUCGACCGCGACACGGAUACGAGUGUAAUGAAAACGAAGUGGUUUGUUACAAGUUGCGCGUUUUAGCUUCGCUCGCGCAGGCGUCGAUCAAAGUCGGAGAGGUCGUAAUCAUCGCCGGCGCCCUCGUUGGACGUGUACACGGCGUCACCCACGACGCGCUGGGACGCAGCUGAGCUCGCGGCGGCGAGCUUGGCGGCUAAACGAGGCUCUGGACUCGCGAUACGGCGAGCUGCGAGCAAUCGAGAGUUAUUGCGAGCAUCGAUUUCCCGGUUCUUGCCUUGGUUGCGGAAAUAGCGCAACAGCGGAACGACGAAGAAUAAUACGCCGUAGCUCAGUAAACCGGGGAGCAAGCCCGAGAAGGCGCGCGCCAACUCCACGUACUCUCGGGUGCGGUACAUGAUUUGCGGGUCGUUAAUCAUCUGCGCCAAAAUCACCACCCCCACUAAGUUCGCAACGCCGAGUAAACCCGCUUGAAUCUUUUGCGACGGCUCGGCGAGCGAAAACACCCAUCGCUCCUCUUGCGCCAACGCCUCACUUUCGCCUCUACUUCGCGCCGUUGUUUUUCCAGCGGUGGACUCCAUGUUAGGAAAUCGAUAAAUGAUCGAUCCUGUGACGGUAUUCACCUCUGGCGUGCCCUCGAAGCGGGUGAGCGCGGGCAAGACAAAGGACUCGUCUUCGUAUCCCGCCGUGUCCAGAAACGGCGCCAACUGCUCCGCCGUCACAACGCCCUUAUUCUUUUGAAUCAAGCGUCCAACCAACUCCCAACGCCGCUUUUCGAAAUCCAAGUUCGGAUCGCCGUCGCCGAAAACAAAACUGAAGACAGCCUCAAAAAAGUUCAUCUCUCUGUCGCGUCUUCGCGGUCGGCGAUAGUAGUACGGAUCCCAAUACCAAAACAAAUCAAACGGCGAAAUGUAAAAGCGCGGCCCAGCGAAGCCACCACCGCGCCGAUCUGAACGAUCGUCACUACUCUUGGCGCUCAUGAGGGCGAAGAUGGCGGUGUAGACAAUCAUCACGCUCGCCACGAGCGACGUUCCAAACGCCACGCGAAAAACGUACGAAGCUAAGCUUUUCGCCCCGCUCACGAUCGGUUCGAUCUUCAUCUUGAACGAUUUCGAGCUCAAAAUCCCUCGUGUCGACCUGGGAAACACGUAUGUGAGAUCGCCCGCGCUGGAUACUUCCAAAGUCGCUCCUGUGUCCGCCGCCAGCGCGUUGAGCGCCUUUUGCGUCUCGAACACGCUCGCCCCCGAAAUCGAGCUCACGUCCCCCACAGUGGCGCGAUACUGCGCCUUCUCGAUCGCUUUAAGUGUUUUUUCGCGCAAUUCAGCGUUCAAAUCAUCGCUCUCCACGCGUCCUCCCGGGGCGACGGCGAGCUUGUCGUCCUCCGCGAGCGCGCUCUCGCGAGGCAGGUCCAACUCGACUCGAUCGUCGUAGUCCCAUCCUCCUCGCGCGCGCGUCGUCACCGCUCCAUCGCGCGCGCGCGCGAAGCGCGUCUUUCGCGCGACGCGCCCGUCCUCAGCGCGCGUCGCCGCGUCGCUCGCCCGCGCGCGCGACCUCGUCGGCGUCAUCUUGGACGACGCGCGAACGACGACGACGACGACGCGCGGCGACGACGACGACGCGCGCGCUCGAACGGCGCCGACCGCGAGCGGCGGCAUCGCGCGCGAGUUGUGCGUCGUCGGCACCGCGGUGGCGCGCAUGUCGAUCGAAGCGAAGGGCGCGUCGUGAGAUGACGCGAUGCGACGCGAAGGACGAGCGAGCGACAGUGCGAGACGCGCGACGCGCGCGAUGUCUCGCAAGGGCGGAUGGGGACGCGGGGACGAGGAUGAUUAUUACGACGAUUACGACGACGACGAGGCGUACGACGACGACGACGAGGCGUACGACGACGACGACGAAGCCGCAGGCGCCGGGCGCGAGGCCCUCGAGCGAGCCGAGGAUGGCGAGCGCGCGACGACGGGCGCGAGGGCGGCGAAGACGAGCAAGGCGAUGGAGUUGAUGAAGACGAAACCGACGCCCACGCGCGUGGGGAUGAAAGAGAUCGAGGCGCGGAUGGCGGCGGAGAGAAACGCGAGGUAUCCCGCGGCGCCGCGCGGGCCGAGCGGAGGCGGCGCGAGCGCGGGGAAGUUUGCGUUCGAUACGCCUUCACCGGACGCGGCAGCGGCGGCGGCGCGAGCGCGGGGGAGUAAGUCUGGGGCGAGCGCGGCGAUGG
rnacentral:lncRNA from 1 species